UCAAAAUUCGCUAUAUCGUAAAAGUUCAUGAAUGUAUUUCGUUGCUUUUGGUCUUCAUUUAAGGUUAGGUAUAUGGUUAUGUUUAUAAAUCUGAUUUUAAGAAGGUCAAUUAUAGAAAUAGGUGGGGUUUAGCCAUAAUUAUGACUUUGCCGAUCUGGUCACGAGUAACAACCGAUCAUCACCGCAACCCACUUCCCGACCAUUAAAGAACAUUGCACUGCUGGGACCCAUGAUCACCCAGAGGGCCAGUGUCUUCACCAGACCGGCUAAAGACCCUCUCGGCCCUUCCGAGAACAUCAUCGGACUGGGACUGUUCGCACUGGCUAUCCUGGGACCUUCCAGUUGGAUUCUCACCAACAUUGAGGACUACAAGAAGAAAGAUUAACUUAACAUGGACUCAUGUUAAUGGAUGUUCCGUACAUUCUCUACUUAUUCAAGACCCUCCUGGGACCAUCAUUACUUCACGAACUCUGUGGAACAAAUCCCCAACCUCCAUGAACUACCACUCCAUCCCCACUUUACUCUCCUCACUCCUAGUUUACUCUUCAGCCCUUUGGAGAACCGUCUGCAAAUAGAAUGGCUGCACAACAUCUCAAGAGUUGUGAAUUUUAAUUGAACAAGGAGUAUGUUACAAUAAUAAAACAUAAUUCAACUUUAAA